GUGCUCACUUCAGCAGCACAUAUACUAAAAUUGGAACAAUACAGAGACAAUUAGCAUGUCCCCUACGCAAGGAUGACAUGCAAAACAAAAUCAGAAUGAAGUACAUAUAU